UGUUUCUACCGUAGCAAACAGCGAACAAACAGCACUGCAGAGCGCGUUUCGUUACUACCAUGAAAGAGAAGCAACAGAAGAAGUAGGAGCAAGAGCAAGAGCAAGAGCAAGAAGAAGUUGUACGUUUCUAACUACUAGGUAGUAGUAGAAGCUCUCCUUUAUUAGUAGUGGAAUUUUGGACAAAUGGAGGACCACAGCUAUUAUUUAGCACAAGAGUCGACGGAGUGUGUAUCUGCUUCGAUGAAGCGAAAGCAUGAUGAAGCCAGACUUAUACGGGAGCGACGCAGGCAGAAAUCACGGGUAAACAUCGGUGUGGCUUUUCCCAGAUAGAAUGGUCUAAUGAGGGAAAAAUGUUUUCAAAGCGACACCGAAGUUGCCUGUUUUCUGAUGGAUAGCUACGAGACAGGUCCUGCAACAUCGACUCCCUUGGAGAGAAAACCUUUGCAAGUCCCAGCUCCAGCAUUGUCUAGCAUUGGUGCUUCUAGUGGAACAGACCGAGAUGAGCAUCUUGAUGUCAUUCCAGAAGCCACAGAAAUUCAGGGCCUUGAACAAAGCUUACAUGACAUGAGCAUUGUUGAGGAGGACUUGGAGGAAAAUGUUUUCAAUCACCCAAUGAACAGUGUAGAUGAUGGACAGAAUGGUUUCAGCUCUGAUGAAGAGGAUCUUCCACCAAUUUCUAUACGAAUGGGUGGAGCACCGAAGAAAGCACACUCUAUCGAUGGACGACCCUGUUUUCCCAGAACCAGAAUGUCCUUUGUGAAGAUGACAUCAUAGGUGUCAGAGCCUCCAUAGUGUACAAGAACUGCUUAAGACAACUGGCUACAUUUCUGAUCCUGCCUGUGGAUAAAUGCACUGGCCUUCUGAGGACUGGUGCGCCGUGCUACUCUGUUGCACCCUUUGAGAUCAACGUCACCACCAAGAGCACAGCAGCUACUAUUGAAUGGAUCUGUUCUAAUGACACAGCUUGUGGAGGUGGAAUUCCUAGCCUGUGAUGAAGUUUGCGAUGCAAGCUGGAGAUUUCUUGUCCACCAACAUUUUGUUGUCUGGCAACAACUACGCAAAGGUUGCCCUCUUGUUCAAAUUCAUGAAAAUGGGGAUGGUGAACAGGAACACCUUCUUCUCCAUUCAGGACACUUAUUGCGUCAAUACAAUAAAGGACUUCUGGGAAGAGAGAAGGACAGAGGUUCUUUGUUGCCUUCAAGGGAAAGAUGUUGUUGUCCUUGAUGGCAGAAAUGACUCUCCUGGUCACUGUGCACAAUACUGCAGCUACACCACCAUGGAGAAUGACACCAAGGAGAUCAUUCAUGUUGCCACCAUAGACAAGUGGCAAACAUCAUGGAAGUCUGUCGUCUUGGAGAAGGAGUUUCAUCCAGACUGGACAAGCUUACAUCAGAAAUAAAGCUAGUGGAGAUCUGCACAGGUGCUCAUGCACAGAUUGGUGCCCUUAUGAACCCAGACAAAGGCAAAUACAAGGCCCUUGGAAUUCAUCACUGUCUGGACAUAUGGCAUGGUGCGAAGAACCUUGCCAAACAAAUAGCAGCAGCAGCAAAGAUAAAAGGAGAGUGCAUCCUCUUCAACUGGCUGAAGGACAUAGUCAACCAUUUUCGGUGGUGUUGCAAGACUGCCGACACACGUGGGCAGUUUCUUGCAUUAUGGGUUGGCAUCCUUCACCAUGUCUGCAACAUUCACACCUGGACUAUGGGAAGUUGCAAACACGGGCACCUUGAAUCGGAUCAAAUGCGGGGAAAGAUGUGGAUCCAGAGAGACUCCCAGUGCCACAAAGCUUUAGUGGAUAUAGUUCUCAAUAAGAGGUGGCAGAAAGAUGUUCACAACUAUCUGCGAUUCAGAUCGACUGCAGACCUAGAGUCAUUACAGAAUCAUAUGCUGAUGUAUGCCAGCAAGCGCUAUGCUUUCAGCCCCCCAGUUUAUGAGGCAAGAGUUCUGCUUGCUGCUUUGGACUACAAUUUCCACCGGAACCGACCAACAAUGAAAACAUUGGACGGCAAAGAGACUUUCAGAAGAUUCUAUAAGAACGGUACGCUUUGAAAUCUGAAAUACAUACCGAGUUGCAAAGAAGGAUUGUGAAGAACAGACUCACAAGUGGAGGGUGGAUGCCUAGAUUGAGGAGCCUUCUCCCAGAUGACCCCAGACAGCUUGGUUUGGUGCCCACCGUACCUGCACCAGCCACAUCAGAUUUGUUGCCUAUGUUGUACCAUAUUACAUGUCACUAUAUUGUAAUGUAAAUAUCAUUCAGUCUGUAACUGUUUGAUGGCACUGUCUUCAACAGGACUGUUAUUCCAACCAGCAUCUGAUGUGGAAGGAUCCCCAUAGGAGAUCACCUUGCAUGUGUCCUGGUACUUGUCAGGAUCACAAGGGAAAGAACUUCAGUUCACUGACAAAGUCAUAGCUUUUACUCUUCAAAAAGAGAAAUUUAUUAACAUUAAAUUCUGUUCCUACCCUCCUACAGUGGUUAUUUCAUGUUUUUCCAGUUUGUACACGUUUCAUCUUAUUCUGCUAAGUCCACUGUGGCCAGCGCAUAUUAUUUUUAGUAGGUAGCCUAAAUUACAGUUUACAAUUUGAACAGUAAUGAUAAGUAAGGCUACAGCUGUCCCCUAUUAUGUAAAUAUAAAUAAAAUUGGUAUUGGAAAUGUUAUGGCAAAGUUUGAAAUUCUAAACACAUGUUCAAAUGUAUAUAAUAAAAAUAAAAACACCA